AAUAUUUCACAAUGGAGGAAACUCUGAUGCAGCGACGCCGCGUGAACGACGAAGGCCUUCGGGUCGUAAAGUUCUGUCCUUGUGGACGAUAAUGACGGUACCCAAGGAGGAAGCUCAGGCUAACUACGUGCCAUCAGCCGCGGUAAUACGUAGGGGGCGAGCGUUGUCCGGAAUUAUUGGGCGUAAAGGGUUCGCAGGCGGUCUUUUAAGUCAGAUGUUAAAUGCAUAGGCUCAACCUAUGAGUGCAUUUGAAACUGGAAGACUUGAGUUAAGGAGAGGAAAGUGAAAUUCCUAGUGUAGCGGGGAAAGGCGUAGAUAUUAGGAGGAAUACCAGUGGCGAAGGCGACUUUCUGGACUUAAACUGACGCUGAGGAACAAAAGCAUGGGGAGCAAAC
rnacentral:rRNA from 1 species